CACUCCUGGACAGAAACGGAAUCUACAUCCGACAUCUGGCUGCCUAAAAGUUAUGCCUUUCAGGUUCUGCAAGACAGAGCUCACAGAAGGAUUUUAUUCCCAUAUAUUCACAUGCAAAAACCUGGCGUGCAGCUAAAAAAGAAAAUAUUACCACCAUGCACCAGAAUGUUCUGAAAGUUAUCUCAGAAGUGUGGUUUGAACUCCGAUCUGGCCUCUGCCGCAUCUCUCUUCAUGUGAGGCUACUUUCUCCAGCUGUCACUGCAAGCCAGCCCUGGUCUGUCCAUGUCUAAACACCCAACACUCUUCCCGCCUCACACGCUUCCCUUAGUCUUGGACAUUCCCUGGCGUCUCUGGAGAGCUGAUACUUUGGUGCUCAGCAUAAACGGGAGGCUUUGUCUAGCCGUGGUAUUGAAAUGGCUGGUUCCAGUCGCAUCUGCACAGCCAACACCUGGUUCUCUCCUGCUGGCUCGUUCUGCCUAGUGGCGAGUAGGCUCACUGUGGAGGACUCUGCCGACCUGGGAGUGAGUCAGUUGGGAGGGGAGAGGCUACAGUGC